GACAGAGGAUGCAAGCGUUAUCCGGAAUGAUUGGGCGUAAAGCGUCUGUAGGUGGCUUUUUAAGUCUGCCGUCAAAUCCCAGGGCUUAACCCUGGACAGGCGGUGGAAACUACCAAGCUGGAGUACGGUAGGGGCAGAGGGAAUUUCCGGGUGGAGCGGUGAAAUGCGUAGAGAUGUGGGGGAACACCUGUGGCGAAGGCGGUGGCCUGGACCGGUGCUGACGCUGAGGCGCGAAGGCGUGGGGAGCGAUC
rnacentral:rRNA from 1 species